AGAAGGGGAGUAGCCCUGGGAAACGUGGGAUUAAUGCCCUAUGGUAUUGAUAUUAUGAAUGAUAUCAAUUAAAGUUGAGGCGCUGACAGAUGGAUGUGCGUCUGAUUAGCUAGUUGGUAGGGUAACGGCCUACCAAGGCGACGAUCAGUAGGGGCGUGAGAGCGUGGUCCCCCACACGGGUACUGAGACACGGACCCGACUCCUACGGGAGGCAGCAGUAAGGAAUAUUGGUCAAUGCCCGCAAGGGUGAACCAGCCAUUCCGCGUGGAGGAUGAAGGCCCUAUGGGUUGUAAACUUCUUUUAGAUGGGAAGAAAAUGCUAGAUGUAUCUGGUACUGACGGUACCAUCAGAAUAAGCACCGGCUAACUCCGUG
rnacentral:rRNA from 1 species